GAUGAACGCUGGCGGCGUGCCUAAUACAUGCAAGUCGAGCGAACAGACGAGGAGCUUGCUCCUCUGACGUUAGCGGCGGACGGGUGAGUAACACGUGGAUAACCUACCUAUAAGACUGGGAUAACUUCGGGAAACCGGAGCUAAUACCGGAGAAUAUAUUGAACCGCAUGGUUCAAUAGUGAAAGACGGUUUUGCUGUCACUUAUAGAUGGAUCCGCGCCGCAUUAGCUAGUUGGUAAGGUAACGGCUUACCAAGGCAACGAUGCGUAGCCGACCUGUGAGGGUGAUCGGCCACACUGGAACUGAGACACGGUCCAGACUCCUACGGGAGGCAGCAGUAGGGAAUCUUCCGCAAUGGGCGAAAGCUUGACGGAGCAACGCCGCGUGAGUGAUGAAGGUCUUCGGAUCGUAAAACUCUGUUAUUAGGGAAGAACAAAUGUGUAAGUAACUAUGCACGUCUUGACGGUACCUAAUCAGAAAGCCACGGCUAACUACGUG
rnacentral:rRNA from 1 species